UACGUAGGGUGCGAGCGUUGUCCGGAAUUAUUGGGCGUAAAGAGCUCGUAGGCGGUCUGUCGCGUCGGUCGUGAAAACUUGGGGCUUAACCCUGAGCUUGCGGUCGAUACGGGCAUGACUGGAGUUCGGCAGGGGAGACUGGAAUUCCUGGUGUAGCGGUGGAAUGCGUAGAUAUCAAGAGGAACACCUGCGGCGAAGGCGGGUUGCUGGGCUGACACUGACGCUGAAGUGCGAAAGCUAGGGGAGCGAACGGG
rnacentral:rRNA from 1 species